AGAACGAACGCUGGCGGCAUGCCUAAUACAUGCAAGUCGAACGAACACUUCGGUGUUAGUGGCGCACGGGUGCGUAACGCGUGGGAAUCUGCCCUUGGGUUCGGAAUAACAGUUGGAAACGACUGCUAAUACCGGAUGAUAUCGAAAGAUCAAAGAUUUAUCGCCCAGGGAUGAGCCCGCGUAGGAUUAGCUAGUUGGUGAGGUAAAGGCUCACGAAGGCGACGAUCCUUAGCUGGUCUGAGAGGAUGAUCAGCCACACUGGGACUGAGACACGCCCAGACCUCCGACGGGAGCAGCGAGAGGAAUAGUGGACAAGUGGGCGCAAGCCUGACUCCAGCAA
rnacentral:rRNA from 1 species